rnacentral:rRNA from 1 species
UUUUUAUGGAGAGUUUGAUCCUGGCUCAGAGUGAACGCUGGCGGCGUGCCUAAUACAUGCAAGUCGAACGAUGAAGCUUCUAGCUUGCUAGAAGUGGAUUAGUGGCGCACGGGUGAGUAAGGUAUAGUUAAUCUGCCCUACACAAGAGGACAACAGUUGGAAACGACUGCUAAUACUCUAUACUCC